AGUACAUCCACAUUGUUUGCAACACACAAACACCAUUUGCUCAAGUACAGAAUGACAAUGCAUUUGACAAGUCUAACCAGAAAUUACAGAGAGGUCUGGUUGCAUUCUUUAAACCCGUGACUUCAUUCCUCAUUUUAAAAUCCCGCUGACCAGGCGAGCUGGAGAGGAUGGGAUGAAGUUGAUCUACGAAGAACUAAGAGUCAGAAGGAAAACCAGGUCCUAAUUCUGGCUGAGCCACCAACUGACUGCAGGACCCUGCACAGAUAUUUAGAAAGCGACAUUCCUGCUGUAUUUUCUGCAUCUGCUUCCUCAAACACGGUGGUUUACUGAGACAAACCAAGUCAUCAUUCAGAUCCUUUUCCCAGGCUCGACCAGAGCAGUUGGCAGAGACACAUGACCAGAGGAAAAGGGGAGAACUUCAAAACAAAGAAAGCGAUCCUGGCGGCUUCCCAGGCUCCAGCGAGGAUGUCUCUGAAGUCAGCUGCAGUCUCUGAUGUGUGCUGCGAGUAUCCUAUUGCAGAAUUUUAAAUGCCUACUAACUGAAUGCAGUUGCCUUAUUUGUGAAAGGUGGUGCCAGAAGUAUUAUUACAUUUCAGAUUCUUUUCCCUGGAUAAUGGUGGAAAAUUCUGUUUUAAAUCCAUCCAACACAGAAUUAGACAGAGGAAUGUCCGGGUUUUUGUUUGGUGAUGUUGUUUUAAUUCAACGAUUACAUUCCUUUGCUUUCACCUUCGCCUUUUUAAACCACGGAUCGAAAAUCACAUGAUUAGUCACAUAAAAACCCGGAGUUUUUAUACAUACUGAUAAUAAUGUUUGCCAGAAGAACUAAAUACAUACACAACAGCAUGUGUGUUGUAAGUGCUACAAAUAAACCCUGUCUGACAGGUA